rnacentral:rRNA from 1 species
GUGUCAGCCGCCGCGGUAAUACGUAGGGAGCAAGCGUUGUCCGGAUUUAUUGGGCGUAAAGAGCGCGUAGGCGGCUUGGUAAGCCGGAUGUGAAACCCCCAAGCUCAACUUGGGGCGGCCAUUCGGAACUGCCAUGGCUAGAGUCUGGUAGGGGAACACGGAAUUCCUGGUGUAGCGGUGAAAUGCUUAGAUAUCAGGAGGAACACCAGUGGCGAAGGCGGUGUUCUGGGCCAGUACUGACGCUGAGGCGCGAAAGCGUGGGGAGCGAACAGGAUUAGAUACCCUGGUAGUCC